GUAGAGCUGUGCAUGAUGUGUUUUGUUUGGUGCUGCCUUCAAUCCCUGCAGCGUUAUAAAACAACCUGCCUUUCGGGGUGAAGGGUGUAGGCCCAGUCCGUGGCCAAAGGAAACUUUCUGGCACAAUUACAUUAAGGGAUGUCCAUGUAUUGAUAGACAGGUGAACUGGGGAAGAAACGCUUCCAGUCUUGAAGGAAGAGCAGGAACUCACAGCUUGUUCACCAUAUCUACAGCUUUCAUCUCUGUUGUUAGUUAUCUCAGCUGCAUUUAAAAAACAGUUCUGUUGGGGACGCAUAGAUUUCUCACUGUGGCUUAUUCUUUUCAGCAAGGAAAGACACGCCAUGCCUUCCCCAUCCUUAGAUUUGAGGCCAGACCAGCUCCUUUCCUGGCACUGUGCUGUUGUCAGCUGGGAAGGAUGGUCCCCGUUACAUGGGCAUUACCAGGCUGUGGCACUCAGGGCAUGGAGGCUGGAUCUCCUCCUUCAGAGCUGCCCUUGGGAUGCCCCAAAUGAAAGGAGGGAGAGGGGCUCUGCACCUGUCCCCCUUGCAUCCCCUCAAGGACAGCUGGCAUGGGAUGGAAGUGUAUCGAGGCAUGGCUGAGCUCUGAGAUGUGCUGUCUUGAGGCAGAAUGGCUCCUCAGCUCACCCUGGAGAGCUGCAGGUCCUCACCUGCCUCAGGCUGUGCUGGUUGGGGUCCCUGGUGAUGGAGGUGCCUUGUUCCUUUGCUGUGUUGUGGGGUAAAGAUUUUACAGCUUCUCAUGUGAAGGGAAGGGAGGGGUUAAAAAUGUCCUUUUUUCCUUCUCUGGGGCAGGGUAGCCGUAACAACCAGCAGUGGAGGGUUAAAGGGACCUCUAAGUAAGAUGAAUUUGAGUGACUUUUUUUUUUUUCUUAUAAAUAAUACCAGUAAGAGAGAAAUCAACAUAAGUUAAGCAAUUUCAGUGAUUAAAGAUCACUGUAAGGGGAAAACCAGAAUUACCUAUAUUGCAUAAUCCAAAUCACGAAGUCUUACUAUUGAAAUUGCUCAUGCAGCCUUAAUUUUAUCUUCAGACAACUGCUUACUUUAAGUAACACUAAAUGACCUUACAGUUAAAGAUUUUCUAAGAAUAUUACAUUAUACCUUUUCCCUUGUAGCUACAGAUCCUGUAAGCACUGUCCUCUUGUAUAUGACAAAUCCCAUUUGUGACAGUUGCAAGAAAAUGUGAUGCAACAAAUGCUCAUGCAAAAUUAAACAGAUUAAUCUUAAUUGCCAUUUACUGUACAUCUCUUUAUGUUGCUCUAUGAUGUAUUUGGCUAUAAUUUACUCUCAUUUUGAGGUAAGAGGCCCAUUAUACUUGUGUAAAUAAAACUCCGAAAUCAGCUGGCAUGCUUACCUGCUUGCAUAGUUGAUUUAAACUGCCUUGAUAGGCCUGUAUUAUGAUGUAUUUAACCAACAUGAAUAUGAACUUGUUCCAUCUGUAGUCCCACAGAAAUUAAUUAGACUGUCUACAGAGUACUAGUUGAGGAAAAUAAAGAUAAAAAAGUUGUCUUCUGUUCUGUUUAACCAGGGUCAUGUGUGCUGAAAAUAGGAGAGGGAUUAGGUAACGCUACAGAAUUUACACUGCUGGUGGAUGAUUUGCAGCACCAUUCCUGUGUGUCCUCUUCCUUCUUUGUGGCAGAUUCCAGCUCUGAAAUUUUGCAGAGCCCUGGUGGUGGAGGAAUAAUAUAAACAUGAAAACUCAUGGUGGCUCUGUUACUGCCUUAAAACAUGGUCCCCAAGCCACUUCGUACUCCCCUUUUUUUUAUUAUUAUUAAGAAUUACUAAUUUUUCCAUACUUGUAUUUAUUAGUAAUAAGUGAGCUGCCUCCAGCCUUGUAUUAGAGUAAGUUUGGGUUUGAGAGAAACAUUUCAGAAGUGUUUUUGUCACUUGAAUGCUUUAGUCCCAUUCAUUCAUUUAAAUUAUGUUUCGUUUUUCCUAAUAGAACAUAGAUCUCUCUGGGAAGAGAGAUCCAAAGAUAAUACAGUACCUAAAAUUGCAGGCAUCAACUGGGAUUUUCCAUAGCUUGAGCGUAGAAGGUAUUUAUCUUCAGCUAAUUUUAGCAGAUUGAAAAUCCGGGAAGUUAUCCCAGAUAAAUGCUAUCUGCUUCUUCAGGUUUCUAAAUGCCUUUGAGGUUCCCAUUUUCAAAAGUAAAAGGGAACAAAAGUCUUUGGUGGCAUUUAAUUUACUUUUCCCUAAUUUUCCACAAGCAUUGUUUUAAAAUGCAGAUAUGUCUUAUUAUUUGCUUAAACAAAUGAACAAAGCCAAGAGCAUAAAUAUGGUUGGAACCAAGGCAGCCCUAGCUGCAAAGGCCAAGAUAAUGCUUCCCUUGAUCCCACUGUGGCACUGAACAGGAUUUGUUAUGAUAAGAAGCUAAUAAGACAUUAACAAAAGUAGCUGUGCCUUAAUUCAUAAUGUGACUGCUCCGUAUUAUUCUAGGGAUGUUCAUCUGGGCCAUAGAUGUGAUUUAUAAACUUUAAUUAAAUAAAUCUCUCAGAACCUCUUGUUGGAAAUGUAGAGCUAGUUCUAAUAACUUGAAUUAACUGAGAAAUAAUUGAAUAAAGGUUAAUAUGAGAUAAGUUCUCCAUUUUGUGGAAGAAGAUGUAGCUUUAAAUGUUGCAUUGGUUAUAGUUAGUAAUGGAAAUGUGAAGAAUAGCUCAAGGUCGUUCAAGAAGACCAUGGGAGAGAGCCCUUGGGAGCUGACUGUACAACAAGGUGUGCUCCAGCUCAUUCCCACUCUUUCUCUUUUGUUGACUUACUGAAGAAAAGCUUUUCCUCAGGAAAGUGUGAGUAUUUGAGGGAUAGAUGUGUUUAUGUGUUUUGCAUCUACCUAUAUGCAAUAAAUCUGCUUAGAAGUAUUUGGUUUCUUUGUAAAUGUUCAGUGCAGAAGUCCACUGUAAUAUUUUUUUAGGUCUUGGAGAGUAAGCUUGUCCUUGUGCUUCCAAAGGAGGGUGUGGGUAGUGGUUGUAUCCCUCCACUGACACAGCUCCAUGUGCUGUGCAUGUUGUGUGUCCCCACUUCUCGUGGGCGUGGAACAGUGGGGAGAGUGUGCCUGUUGUCAGGUGCUGAGCAUGUCAGGAAUCUUCACCUGCCAGGAGGGUGCCAGGGGACCCACUUCUCAUACAAGUAUCUUGUAAUCUGGCCCUGGUUGUCUGGGAUGCUGCCGUUCCCGUGGGCGGUAAAGUGUUGCAAACUGACUUUAUCCUGCUUGGCAUUUUGAAAAGGCAUGAAGUAAAGGCAGUGGAGUUACAGGAAUUGCCCUUGGAUCCUUGAUAUUCCUGUUCUUGUUGCUUAUUUCAGCAUUUGUGUCUUUCUGGUCUAGAUCUGAAGAAGUCUCCUCCUCCUUCAGCAGUAGCAUGCCCAUAGUCUUCCUGGCCAAUGAUUCUUCUACAGCAAGCAGGACUUCUUCCUCAUCCUGAGAAGCCUUCAUCCCUUCCUAUGUCAGUGGCUACAAGGCCAAGAGCCACCUCACCACUGUCCCCACCAAAGUCUCUCGGACUGGGGCCUUCCUUUCAUCACACGCAAGAAGAGGAACUUGCCAAGGUGGUGGAGCAGGACCCUAUGCUGGAGGAACUAUGUAAGCCCCUGUGCUGUAAGCUUUGCAAUGUCACUCUGAAUUCGGCCCAGCAAGCCCAGGCUCAUUACCAGGGUAAAAACCACAGUAAGAAACUCCGGAAUUACUAUGCUGCCAACAGCUGUCCGGCACCUGCCAGGAUGAGUAAUUCUGUUGAGCCUGCCCCACCUCAGGUUGUCUCCCUUCCAACUCAGAUGGGAUCCAGUAAACCAGGUGGCCGAGUGAUCUUGGCUACAGAGAAUGAUUACUGCAAGCUUUGUGAUGCCUCAUUUAGUUCUCCGGCUGUGGCACAGGCUCACUACCAAGGCAAAAAUCACGCCAAGCGGCUGCGUCUUGCAGAGGCACAGAAUAACUCAUUCUCGGAUGCCUCAGAACUAGGCAAACGAAGGGCAAGGAAGGAGGGGAAUGAAUACAAAAUGAUGCAGAACAGAAGAAAUACAUAUACGGUUCAGAACAAUACAGGUAAACCAGGCUUUUCUGUUGACUCCUCAGGUCCCUACUUCAACCCCCGCUCGCGCCAGAGGAUCCCCCGUGACCUGGCCAUGUGCGUGACGCCCAGCGGCCAGUUCUACUGCUCCAUGUGCAACGCGGGCGCCAGCGAGGAGAUGGAGUUCAGGCAGCACCUGGAGAGCAAACAGCACAAGAGCAAAGUGUCCGAGCAGCGCUACAGGAACGAGAUGGAGAACCUGGGCUACGUCCAGUGACGCGCCACCCUCGAAUGCUGUUUCCCCCUUUCAUUACCUGAGAGCUCCAGAAGAGCAUGUGCUUGUGCAGCAUAAAUGACUUUCCAAACAGAAAGGAUAUUCUGAGUGGAGCCUAGGAAGCAGAGAAAAUCUGGGGUUUUUGAGUUCAAGUCAGGCAUUGGGCCCUUACAGAGAACUGUCACUGGUGGAAUUAUCCUGAUUUACCAUUUGGGAUGAGAGCUGCCUCUGUGCUUAGUUGCAGAGAAGAGGCAGGAUGCAGGAGGCUCGGGAUCGUUCUGCAGAGCCAAGCAGGCUGCUCCUUCCCCACAAAGGCAGCAGGCUGGGUACAGCCCCUGUCCUUGGGGUGGGCUGUUGUCAGCCUGGUGUCAGCACAGAAGACAUGACAACCAUUGUUAAAAGCUCUGAGGCAGAAAUAAUUGGAGACCCUCCAUAAUGAAACAGUACUGACUGAAAGGGUAGCCCAAAAAAGACUGCUCUUCCGAUGCAGGAAAUAAUGAGGGCUGCCCUAAACUUUUAAUCAGAGGCUCAAAUUUUGUUGCAGCUCCUGACAAGGAAAGCAUCCCUUAAUAAUGCUCCUGACAGUUCCAAACUCCUGAAAUUAAUAUGAGAGCAACGAGGACUUAAUGGAAGCGCUAAUUACAGAUGCUGGAAUUAUUCUGCCGCAAUUCAAAACCUCUGAUGUGGAGAAACUCUUAGCACGGUUGGGCUGUCAUCUAAUUUCUGUGAAGUUUUGCUGUGAAAGGUGACCCUGGCUUUACACACCUUCCUUCUGCGAGAUGUGGGCUUCCUUCCCUCGCACUGACUUCCACACCUUGCAAAGAACUGGGAUGCAAGCAAUUCUUCCUGCUCUGGAGGUGGUGCUACUCACACCCCUUUGGGGUGCUCUUCCCUCUAUUUCCCCUCAUGAUUAGUCAUAAUGUGCUAGUGGACUCACAUCCAGGCUUUUCCCAAAAAAGCUGACUGGUUAUGCAGGUGGAUGAAACACAGGUGGCUGUGCUGGUUUGUGCCUGGAGUGCCACCUCUGCAGCAGGAGCAGCUGAACCUCGGGUGGAUCAGCUCCUGCUUCUUUGUGCUUCAUGUUCUCAUUGUUUAGACCAACUGGUACCAACAAAUUGGUGCCACUUCAGGUGGUUAUUCAGGGGUUGGUGGGGCAUGGAUGGAAGUGGAGGCCAGGCAGCCUCUAGGUGAGAGGGAACGAUCCAUGGGGUGAAGCCACCUCAGUCUCUAACCCUGAGUGCACCUCCCAAAAAGCACAGAUCUUUGGAAACAAUGACAUUAUCAGUAGACCUACUUGGCAUUGCUCCAGAGCCACUUUUAACCCCAGACUUCCUCCAAAUCUGCCAGAGGUGCAUGGAGACCCUUCCAGGUCUGUGGGAGGUGGUCCCUGGCUAGUGAGUCCUUGGCAGGCUGGGCUGCUGGGCUCCACCCUUAGCAACCCCUGGCUCUUUGGAGCCUUCAUGGAUCACCAGAAGAUUGCUGCUGGCCUGAUGAGCUGCUCUGAACACCCUGACAGACCCUGUCAUCAUCCAUCUAAAGGUUUUGUUGGGGUUUUGGAGACUGGCUAUAUGGCAGCAGGCCCAAACUGCCCUCCUUGCAUAUCCUGAAAAUGCUCUCUCUGGAUGCUUAGCAUUCAGGAGAACUAGAAUUAAAUUUGAAGGCUUUAAAGGGAGAGCUUCGAUUUCCAAGAUCAGAGGAAGUCAAAGACUGAGGGACUGGAGAGGGACCUUCCCCAAAACAUGAACAUCUUUUGAUCUAUGCAACCUUUUCUAGUCUCCCUUACAGCCAGCUGUGAAACCUGAACCUUGAUAUUAGUUCCAACUGUUGAAUAGCAUUAGAUGAUUCAUCUCUGCUAUUAACACAAAAAAGUAAUACCAUUUUCAGCUUUGCACAUAAUGCCUUUUGAGAAAUAGAUGAAGACAUAAGGGACACCGAAGAAUUAUUUAAUCUAAGCUUUUUUCCUUCAGCCCUGUAUUUUGUCACUCUAUUGAAUGAUUACACUCCAGUUUCUGCCCUUCCCCAGUUACUCUGGAGACAGUGACAAAGGCAGGAGCCAUCUCAUCCUGCUUCAGUGCCCCUCUCCUAAGGGAGGGCUGUGCAUCUUUUAUUGAAAAGUAAUAAAUGUUCUUUGGUAUAACAGAGUGAAAAGAAGGAGGGGAAAAUCACCAAGCUGGUUUCAAUAUGCUCUGUUAAUAAGCCAGAGCCACUGUCAUAAAAAUGCCAGCACGAGCAUUGAAAAUCGAAGUAUAAUCUCAAUGAUUCAGCUGUGAAAUCUAAUUUGGCCAAAGAGGGGGCUUGGAGAUUUUUCCACCCUCUCUGGUCAACAUGGAGCCUUGUGCAUAAAUAAAAAUAUUCUUGGGAAAUCUUGCAAUGAAUCAUAUGCUCUGUGGCAAUCAAGAUGGAGAAGUUUUUAUUGUUGUGGUAAUUCUUGGCAUGGGACAUGCACUUUGCAGCUGAAAGACAAUGGCCAAUUUUAUGGAUUUUAGAGCUCUUAUUUAUUAGUGAGGACCUUGAUAGAGUGGAAUUUGAACACCCCGUUCCUCUUCCCCUCUGCUAUUAAAAAAGGGAACAAUAAAUCAAAGAUGAAUUGGUAGAAGUAAAAAUGAUGGUCAGGAAAAACCUUACGGUGUUGAAUUUUGGGGAAGGAUAUUUGUAAACCAAAAACUUAGUUACACAUGUCACUGUAAAAUAAUGUUCUCUCUAAAUUUCCCUGAAAUCAUGGACCAUGUGCUGACUUGUGGAUGCUGGGGGUUGAGCUGACCUCAGCUCACACUAAACCUACUAAAAGUAAAGAAUUUUUAAAUCAAAAUUUUGUAAUAAGAAUUGAGAAUUUUGAAUGCUGUGAGUGGGGAGAGAAUGACAUUUUACACAAGCAUCUUAAAAGCUCCAGUUGUCCAUAUAACUUAGUGGUGGGUGGCCUAAUAGCAUGCAUAUAUUUGUGUUUUCUGGGGUUUGUAAGUGCUGUUAUAACUAUGGUAAAUUAUACAGAAAGAAAUGAGUUAACUUCCCAGAGCUGGGAACAGAAAAUAUUUUCUUCUUUAGUGCCAUUCUUGCUGCUGUUAAAGGUUUAUCAAGAGGAAGCUGCAUUUUUCUCAGCACAUUAUUAUUGUGAUUGUUUCCCUGGUGCUGACAGCAACCCCAGUACUUCCUCAUUGUGUGGUAGAUGUGCAAGAGCCUGCUCUGUCUCCCAUUGAAAUCAAUAACUAUCUUCCUUAAUUAGCAUUCAAAUUACUAUCAGUCUUUUAACAUUACUAUCAAUUAGGCACAGCACAGCCAUGCCCUGUUGUUUGUCUGAAUUCUUCCAGGUGAGCCAGGGUGGGAUCACGGGCAGGAGCCAGACCCCAGGGAUUUGGGUUGCACCCACUGAUGGUCACAGGCUCUGAAAUAUUGCUGGAUGAGGAGGAGGAGGCUCUGCUGAAACAACAGGCACAGCACAGCUGAGUUGAUUGCCCUGUUCUAAUCAAACAAAUAACUUGGAAGUGUCAGAAAUGUGAUUACAUCCACAGGAAAGCGAGCUUUUCCUCCUUUUUUCCUCCGUUGCUGGAUGCUGAGGGCUGAAACGACAUUGGCAUGCAGUGAACUUUCCCCAGGAGCUGGGCUGGGGCCCAGAAAUUAACACAAGCAGCUUUUUAAGGCACAUGGGAGCAAGGCAUAACUGGCUGCGAGGCUGCAGGUUGGAAAGCCAGGGCAGAAUGGUGCUGGGUUUAUUCUCCAAGCACUGUAUAUCAAGGAACUGAUGUGGAUGUUGAGGAGGCACCAAGGGAGCUUGAAAUGAUUGAUGUGAUUUCAUGACUGCUCCAAAGCACCUGCCAAGGGGAACCUGGGAUGGGGUAAUGCAGGUUCCAGGGACUGAAGCUUGCGUUUGCUGUGCAGGAUUGUUUCUCCAGAUUGGAAUCAGAGUAUUUGCAGAGCUACAGUCUAAGGAAAAAAAACCAACAACAACAACAAGAAAAAGAAGAAAAAAGAUAAAAAAAGGAAAGAACGAAACUGUUUUGAUGAAGUUAAAGCACAGAACAAACUGGGUUCCCUGAUGGCUCUACCAAGGUUUGCUGAAAAUUAGCUGCUCAGCACAUGGUGAUAUUUGCUAGCAAAACAGACUAAAUGAUCUAAACCAAAGCACAUGGGGCUGUUAUAAACCGCCUGUGCCUCAGAUCAGAAAAUUACUUAGCACUGGCAAUUUACUCUAACAUCCCUCCUCAAUCUAAUAGAGAUUAUCCUGUGGAAAGGUCUGUUUUCUACUCUGAAAACUCAGACUGCCACCUAUUUUCCUCUGUCCCCAAAGCUUGUAUUACAUUUACAUUAUUUAAACUCCUGACUUUUUUUAUACUAUUGUGUUUUACAACCACGUGGUAUAUUUGAAAUAAUUCUGCAUGUGGGAAAGAGAGGCAGACAGAAACCUGCUCUUUGGAAGCAAGGAGUAUUUCCCCUUGGAGCUCUGUACUUCACCUCCUCUCUGCAUUUUCCUUAUCUGAGUUGAUGGAAGACCCUCUUGGCAAGGAUAGCAGUUGUCCAUGUGGAAAAAUGACCUUUUAAUUUAUAUUUUUCAUUUUCUUGGAUCCAGUGAGUAUCUGUAAGAAGGAGUCUGCUCUGCCAGAGGGUUUUCGAGGGCUGCCAGCAGCUGGUCCAUGUAGGUAAGGCAGGCUGCUGCAGACCAGAAUGAACCUAUUAGCAUUAAUUAAAAGACAGGAGUAUCUAAGUGUGAUGGGGCUUGCCUGUGCUGCUCCUGGAGAGGAAUCUCAGUCUUAUUAACCUCUUUGCUGUGCAUUGAAGGACACUCUUUGGACAUUGCAGCAUAGUCUGGUGUGACCACAUCAGUAAAUAUGGGCAGAACCAGGGCUUCUCCUGCAGGAUAGAGGGUGUGAGCUGCCACAAAAUAUAAACAUGGUACCCCAGUGCCCAAGGCCAGGCUGAACAGGGCUCCGAGGAACCUGAUCUAGUGGUGCCAUGGCUGAGGGAUUAUAAUUAAACAAUCUUUAAGGUCCCUUCUAACCCACAGCAUUCUGUGAUUCCUGUGGCCAUUUAGGCCUGUCAAAGCAGGAGAUGAGGAUUCAGGGGCAGGAGGGAGAGAAACUUCCCCCCUUGCAUCUCUGCUGUCUUCUUUAUUCAUUUACAUCUCACAACCGGAUUUAAUUUAUCUAGAUGUGCCAGCUCAAUGAAACUUCAGUUUCUUCUCUUAACUGCUGCGAUAAUCUCACCUCUGCUGUCUUCUGAAAAUAGAAAAAGCCAUGUAGAUAAAAUGGCCCAUUUCAAUGAGUAUCUUUGAGAUUUUUCAGCUUUCUUUUCUUCACAUCACAGAAAACUUCAAACUUCACCUCAGCACCCGAGGCUCUGAUUUCAAUUUACAUUAAUUUCAGACAGCACAAAGCAAUUCCCUAAUAGCUGAGAGCAUUGCUAAUGCCUCUCUUUUUUGAGGUAAAGAAAGAAGAAAAUGGUCUAAAAGAAAUUCAUAUAUUGUUCAUAAUAACAGUUUUCAAUGAAGCAAAACCCUUAAUGUUCCUAUGAAAGUUCCUGCAAUAAAAUACAUACAGUUCCCUGUUUGGC